ACAACACAUACUUUGUGUGAUGAAAUCUAGGAUGUAAUGUAACAUGUAUCUCUGGCAACACUGACUGCGCCUUCAUUUCAUUUUGGAGGUUAAAUUGUAACAUUUGUAGGGUUCCUAAAACAACUUCCGUUAAAUUUUACCGACGGCGUAUGCAUUCUCACACCUUAUCUCAACCUUGAAAUAAUCUACCGACACGAACGUUUUAUAUGACAACAUUCAAGAUUUGUUAUUUCAAUUUCUUUGCUGUGGUCCUUGAGGAAAGUUGUGCUGUCGAAUAUUUGUCGGAGCUGAAAUACGAUAAAGUUCCAAGCUUUUUGAAAUGGCGUUUUCCAUUGUGGAAUUUUUGUAUGUGGGCCGCUACUACCUGGAAGAAAUAGAACACGCCGCUGUUAGGCCAGCGAAUACCGACCCCGUAUAGUGGGGGAUCGGUUCCGCUGGCCUUCGGCGAUAUGAUGACUACUGCUUUGAGUAUUCAAAAAUGCAGAAACAACGAUAGUUUUAAGAAUAUCCAAUGCGAUGUACACUCAAACAAUAAACCACUUAAAUAUAUACAUAUGUGAAUCCCAAA